AUUCCAGUUGUUGGAUGGAUUAUACAGUAUCCUGUUCUGCUUCUUGAUCGCCUGAGAGGUGGUCCUGCUUGAGGAAUUUUUUUGGUCCAGUUCUUCUGAUAAAGUGCUUGAAUAUCCAUGUAUCUUUUCCAAUGCAAUUUAAAGAGGUGAUUAAGAGACUCGGAAUUUUAAGCCGGUCAAUUGUCCAUCUCUCGAUGAAAUCAAGAGGAGAAACUAUUGGAUAUGUGUCUUAGCAAUUGGGGG
rnacentral:misc_RNA from 1 species